GGUGAGGUGCUGGAGUGGACGAUCAGGUUGGUCUUGAAAACCAAUGUUCCGGUUUUCCGGAACCGUGGGUUCGAAUCCCACCCUCACCG
rnacentral:tRNA from 1 species